rnacentral:rRNA from 1 species
CGGCGACUUACGUUCAGUAGCGAGCUUAACCGAAUAGGGAGGCGUAGGGAAACCGAGUCUGAUAAGGGCGCCUAGUUGCUGGACGUAGACCCGAAACCAAGUGAUCUAUCCAUGGCCAGGAUGAAGGUGCGGUAACACGCACUGGAGGUCCGAACCCACUAAUGUUGAAAAAUUAGGGGAUGAGCUGUGGAUAGGGGUGAAAGGCUAAACAAACUUGGAAAUAGCUGGUUCUCUCCGAAAACUAUUUAGGUAGUGCCUCAAGUAUCACCAACGGGGGUAAAGCACUGUUAUGGCUAGGGGGUCAUCGCGACUUACCAAGCCAUUGCAAACUCAGAAUACCGUUGAGUGCGAGCUUGGGAGACAGACAUCGGGUGCUAACGUCCGGUGUCGAAAGGGAAACAACCCAGACCGCCGAUUAAGGUCCCCAAGCCAUAGUUAAGUGGGAAACGAGGUGGGAAGGCUUAGACAGCCAGGAGGUUGGCUUAGAAGCAGCCAUCCUUUAAAGAAAGCGUAAUAGCUCACUGGUCGAGUCAUCCUGCGCGGAAGAUGUAACGGGGCUCAAACUAUGCACCGAAAUCGCGGAUAUCCGUAAGGAUAUGGUAGGAGAGCGUUCUGUAAGCCGAUGAAGGUGUCUUGAGAAGGAUGCUGGAGGUAUCAGAAGUGCGAAUGCUGACAUGAGUAGCGAUAAAGGGAGUGAAAAGCUCCCUCGCCGAAAGCCCAAGGUUUCCUGCGCAACGUUCAUCGGCGCAGGGUGAGUCGGCCCCUAAGGCGAGGCUGAAAAGCGUAGUCGAUGGGAAACAGGUCAAUAUUCCUGUACCUCUUUGUAAUGCGAUGGGGGGACGGAGAAGGUUAGGUCAGCCGGGUGUUGGACGUCCCGGUUCAAGCGUGUAGGCAGACCUCUUAGGCAAAUCCGGGGGGUCAAUGCUGAGGCGUGAUAACGAGUGGUCUUGUACCGCGAAG